UGACAACUAUGAUGAAAGGUUUUGUCUGUAUGUAACAUAUUUAAUUACUAAAUGAAGACAACAGUCUCUCUAAACUGAUAUUGCCA
ensembl:snoRNA